rnacentral:lncRNA from 1 species
ACAAUACUUACGUCUGUGUGUGUGUGCUUAUGUGCAGGCUUGUUUAAAGCAACACUUGGUCUGGUGAGUCCCCCCGUUGCAAGGUGGGGUCUUCAGAAUUAUAUUGCACAGCUCAAGCAUUCAAGUGGCACUGGUACAAACGAUUCAGCGACCUGUGAUUUACAUGAAGAGAGAAGAGUUGGCGCUGGGACCAUCUUUUGCAUGAAUAUCUUCUACUUCUGCAUGCUGCCCUUCAUUUUUUGUGGAAGAAGAAAACGAGUUAUUCAGACGCAAAGGGAAGAACUUGAGGACAAAAUAUUUGGUUUUGAUGCUGCAGGUCCACAAAGACUGUAAGGAAAAGAAGUGUCCACUUCACGAUUAUGCAUGUGUUACUGCAACAUGUGGUUCCAAAUAGAACAUUUACCGUACCAAAAGAUAAAGGCUGCCAUCUACUUUCAGUAG